rnacentral:rRNA from 1 species
GACGAACGCUGGCGGCGCGCCUAACACAUGCAAGUCGAACGAGCGAGAGAGAGCUUGCUUUCUCAAGCGAGUGGCGAACGGGUGAGUAACGCGUGAGGAACCUGCCUCAAAGAGGGGGACAACAGUUGGAAACGACUGCUAAUACCGCAUAAGCCCACGGCUCGGCAUCGAGCAGAGGGAAAAGGAGCAAUCCGCUUUGAGAUGGCCUCGCGUCCGAUUAGCUAGUUGGUGAGGUAACGGCCCACCAAGGCGACGAUCGGUAGCCGGACUGAGAGGUUGAACGGCCACAUUGGGACUGAGACACGGCCCAGACUCGUACGGGAGGCAGCAGUGGGGAAUAUUGCACAAUGGGGGAAACCCUGAUGCAGCGACGCCGCGUGGAGGAAGAAGGUCUUCGGAUUGUAAACUCCUGUUGUUG